CCUCUGUCUGAAAAGAGGACAAGAAAUGUUAUCUUGACAACAACAAAAAAUUAUGAAAAAAUAUUUCUACAAGGGGGACUAUUCUUACCUUACUGUAUUUUAGGAGAGCUCCUACUUUAUGGUCUCCCAAGGGUGUGCAGAAACAUGUCUUAAGACUAGAGCAUUGUAAACAAUAGGCCCCCAAUAACUUGUUUUUCUGAUCUGUUGAUUUGGCUAUAGGAUUCUUAAUAUUUUAUCAAUUCUAUUAGGAUAUAAAUAUUAAUCAGUAACAUAGGCGUGGUUAUGUAAGCCACAUCCCGUUUGAGGAAGUCAGCCCCAUGUAGUGAGCUCUGACCCCUCCUCCCAGUGUCUAAGCCUCUCCCCCUGGGCCUGAGGACAGAGGAAUGAUCUCCAGCCGAGCUCUGUUGAAACGUGAGGAGGUGACUCACAACUGAACAAGCCAGUUGAACCUAGCAAUAGAGCCACAGUGCCGCCAAAGCUUGACUGUACAUACUACACUGAUCUAGGACCAGUAAUGGAGCAAGGUAAUGUCCUCAAUGGAAGCGGAUCGGAAGCACACACAGCGGGACAGAGUAGGGACCAAGCCAUGCUGGCUCAGGAGUGCCCAGCUUUCCUCUCCAAUGUGACUGCACUCAUGAGGGUAACAGGGGACAACUCUAAUAUUAGCAAUCGUGGAACUGUUGCUGCUGUCUCUGUGUAUAUUUAAAUGUGAUUUGUUAUGUGUCUGUGUGUUUGGAUGGUGUUAGACUUGUGUCGGGUAUUCAUUGUUUCGUUGGUUAUAACUGCAUUAGCAAGAGAGAGCUACACACACAAGUUUUUAAACUGUUAACCUCUCUAGGGUAUGUGGGACGCUAGCAUCCCACCUGGCCAACAUCCAGUGAGAUUGCAGAGCGCCAAAUUCAAAUACAGAAAUACUCAUUAUAAAAACUCAGAAAAGAUACAACUAUUUUACAUAGGUUUAAAGAUUAACUUCUUGUGAAUCCAACAACGGUGUAGGAUUUUAAAAAUGCUUUACGGCGAAAGCAUACCUUACAAUUAUUUGAGAACAUAGCCCAGCAGACAAAUCAUUACAAACAGUAACCAGCCAAGUAGAAGAGUUACACAAGUCAGAAAUAGAGAUCGAAUUAAUCACUUACCUUUGAUGAUCUUCAUAUGUUUGCAUUCAGAAGACAUUCAUUUAUUCAAUAAAUGAAUCCUACAGACGAAGAACCAUAUAUGUGACAUAAAAAAAAGAAAAAAGAGAUAUACAUGAAAAAUCAUUACUGGACACCCUUUUUCUAUAGUGAACCUGUUUCACAAGCUUUCCACCUCAAUGAACCCUACAGUAGCUAGCUAGUUAUAUGUAACGAUACACUGUAUCCUGCAGGGAUUGCACACCGAGGGUUCAUUGAGGUGGCAAGCUGCAUAUUGAAGUGGGUGAAGACAAAAUUCACACCACUCACCAAACCAGAGGUGCGCAAGUUGAUCAUCUUUAGUGACUGAUGCUGUGGGCAGAAUAACAACUGGCGGCUGCUCAACCUGAUGUCGAUGCUCGUCUCUAUGGGUUACUUUACCCAAGCUGAGCAGAAGUUCAUGGUCUUUGGUCAUUCUUUUCUUCCUUGUGAUCGAUCUUUUGCCACCAACGAGAAGAAGCGCAAGGUGUCAGUCCUUCAUACACCUGAUGAUGAUACUUGAAGCACAACCAGCAAAACCAUUCAAGGCGAUGAGGAUGAAAUGUGAAGACUUCAGGCACCUCCCAGAUUCUGUCCUCAAGCGACCAGCUGGACUACAGAUCACCUCCGUGAGGUGGUUAAAAGUCACAGUUGAGGAUCCUUGGAAUCUGUACGCCAGACAGAGCCACAGUCUAUAUGAGGGAUGGAAAUCGUGACUGAUCUCCAAACCAAAACAAGGAGCUACACCUCAACCUCCCUAUUUUGCAAGCCACUACCCUAGAGCAUAUGAGAGUCCUCUGCCCAUCAAAACAAACAAGUACCAAGAUCUGAUGACCAGCUCAACUACUUGCCAGCUGCUGCACACUCUUUUUUAAAAUGAUAAAUCACUGCAGAGUGAAUCGUUUGUUGUUAAACCAAGCUACAUAAUUAAGCAUUUUUUCUGAGUUUAUGAUCCCCUGAACCUGUAUAGUAUGUUGAAUCUGAAUACAUUUCAGAAGACAUGUCACCCCUGUUGUAGGAAAUUAAAUGUAUAGUAGGUGUUUUCUAUGUGAAUCAAUUUGUGUAUGAUUUGAACCAGCACAAUAUAUUGAAUUAAUUACAUUUUAAGAUGUUGUUCCUAGUGUAGAAAAUGUUAUGUACAAUGUGUUCUGUUGAGAAUUAUUUAGUGUGUGAUCAUUUGAACCUUUUUUAAUCUGAAUGAAUUAAAAACAAAAGUCAUCACAUACA